rnacentral:lncRNA from 13 species
UGCUACGUGUCCCUCCUGUCUCUGCUACGCGUCCCUCCUGUCUCUGCUACGCGUCCCUCCUGUUUCUGCUACGCGUCCCUCCUGUUUCUGCUACGCGUCCCUCCUGUUUCUGCUACGUGUCCCUCCUGUCUCUGCUACGUGUCCCUCCUGUCUCUGCUACGUGUCCCUCCUGUCUCUGCUACGUGUCCCUCCUGUCUCUGCUACGUGUCCCUCCUGUCUCUGCUACGUGUCCCUCCUGUCUCUGCUACGCGUCCCUCCUGUCUCUGCUACGCGUCCCUCCUGUUUCUGCUAUGUUUCUACCUGGAGGAAAGGUACUUUGCCUCUCCCACCAUCUUUCCUUAUUCUGAUGUAAAUGUAUCCAGUGGAACGUUCCGACUGCCCUCUGUCCUUUUAACGUGGAACGUUCCGACUGCCCUCUGUCCUUUUAACUUCCCUCAACAAUGCUUCUAUUUUGACCACUACAUUACUGACGUUAAGAAAAAUAUUGUUACUGUAUAGUCUUUAUUAAACUCCUUCCUGCUCCUAAACUACAGAGGAUAUUGGGUCAGACCCCUCUCUCUCUCUCUCAAGCAUGAUGCGUCUCCCAAUAAGUGUUUUGUCAUUUUAUAAAAUACCAGAUUAGUUUAAUCUCCACUGUAAUGUGUAUUUUAUUUCAUGUGUAAAGGUCUAACAUGUCCUGUUCAGGAACUACAUUAGGAGUAGACUACAUUAGGAGUACAUUAGGAGUAGACUACAUUAGGAGUGGACUACAUUAGGAGUGGACUACAUUAGGAGUACAUUAGGAGUAGACUACAUUAGGAGUGGACUACAUUAGGAGUGGACUACAUUAGGAGUUACUACAUUAGGAGUACAUUAGGAGUAGACUACAUUAGGAGUGGACUACAUUAGGAGUACAUUAGGAGUAGACUACAUUAGGAGUUACUACAUUAGGAGUAGACUACAUUAGGAGUUACUACAUUAGGAGUAGACUACAUUAGGAGUUACUACAUUAGGAGUAGACUACAUUAGGAGUUACUACAUUAGGAGUAGACUACAUUAGGAGUUACUACAUUAGGAGUUACUACAUNNNNNNNNNNUUUUUUUUUUGGUUUUUUUUGUUUUUUUGUGUUGUUUUUUUUUUUUUUUGUUUUGUGUUUUUUUUUUUUUUUUUUGGGUUUUUUUUUUUUUUUUUUGGGUUUUUUUGUGGUGGUGGGGGGGGGGGGGGAAUACUUGAAUCCAUUUUAGAAUAAGGCUGUAAUGUAACAAAAUGUGGGGAAAUGAAGGGGUCUGAAUACUUUCAGAAUGUAAAUAACUAUUACAUUAUUUCUAUCCGGUUCAUGCUUUUCUCUUUCAGUCGUAAACAUCUUUUAUUCUUUGGGGUCUUUGCUUUCGUGUUCUGUACCGAACAAAAAUAUAUAAAACGCAAACAUUUCAAAGAUUUUACUGAGUUACAGUAAAAUUAUUACAUUGAAAUGAAUUCAUUAGGCUCUAAUCUGAUUUUCACAUGACUAAGAAUACAGAUAUGUUGGUCACAGAUACCUUAUAAAGAAAAAAGGGUUGUGGAUCAGAAAACCAGUCAGUAUCUGGCGUGACACAUCUCCUUUGCAUAGAGUUGAUCAGGCUGUUGAUUGUGGCCUAUGGAUUUAUUUUAUUUUUUUCACCUUUAUUUAACCAGGUAAGCUAGUUGAGAACAAGUUCUCAUUUACAACUGCAAAUGGUGUCCCACUCCUUUUCAAUGGCGAAGUUGCUGGAUGUUGGCGGGAACUGGAAAACCACUGUCAUGCACAUUCAUCCAGAGCAUCCCAAACAUGCUCAAUGGCUGACAUGUCUAUCCAGAGCAUCCCAAACAUGCUCAAUGGCUGACAUGUCUAUCCAGAGCAUCCCAAACAUGCUCAAUGGCUGACAUGUCUAUCCAGAGCAUCCCAAACAUGCUCAAUGGCUGACAUGUCUAUCCAGAGCAUCCCAAACAUGCUCAAUGGCUGACA